rnacentral:rRNA from 1 species
CACGUAGGCACCAAGCGUUGUCCGGAUUUAUUGGGCGUAAAGAGCUCGUAGGCGGUUCAGUAAGUCGGGUGUGAAAACUCUGGGCUUAACCCAGAGCCGCCACCCGAUACUGCUGUGACUAGAGUCCGGUAGGGGAGUGGGGAAUUCCUAGUGUAGCGGUGAAAUGCGCAGAUAUUAGGAGGAACACCGGUGGCGAAGGCGCCACUCUGGGCCGGAACUGACGCUGAGGCGCGAAAGCCAGGGGAGCGAACGGG